rnacentral:tRNA from 1 species
UUUAAUAUGGCAGAAACUAUUGCAAUAAACCUAAAAUUUAUUAAUAAAGAAUUAUCUUUUAUUAAAA